rnacentral:rRNA from 1 species
GAGGAAUAUUGGUCAAUGGACGAAAGUCUGAACCAGCCAAGUAGCGUGCAGGAUGACGGCCCUCCGGGUUGUAAACUGCUUUUAGUUGGGAAUAAAAAAAGGGACGUGUCCCUUAUUGUAUGUACCUUCAGAAAAAGGACCGGCUAAUUCCGUGCCAGCAGCCGCGGUAAUACGGAAGGUCCAGGCGUUAUCCGGAUUUAUUGGGUUUAAAGGGAGCGUAGGCGGAUUGUUAAGUCAGCGGUUAAAGGGUGUGGCUCAACCAUACAUUGCCGUUGAAACUGGCGAUCUUGAGUGCAGACAGGGAUGCCGGAAUUCGUGGUGUAGCGGUGAAAUGCUUAGAUAUCACGAAGAACUCCGAUCGCGAAGGCAGGUGUCCGGGCUGCAACUGACGCUGAGGCUCGAAAGUGUGGGUAUCAAACAGGAUUAGAUACCCUGGUAGUCCACACAGUAAACGAUGUAUACUCGCGGUUUGCGAUAGACAGUAAGCCGCCAAGCGAAAGCAUUAAGUAUACCACCUGGGGAGUACGCCGGCAACGGUG